GGGCUGCCGAUAAAAGGCCGGGGCAGCCAGCGCCGGCUCAGAGGGAGGAAAUGCCGAAAUCGCCGCGGCUGGAGGCGGCGGGGAGCGCCCACUGACCCAUCCCGGCACGGAGCAAGCUGCCGGCGCAUCCCCCGCCCUGGCAGCCCGGCCCCGCGGGGACCCCCGAGCCAUGCGGGCGCUCAGCCUCGGCCUGAUGGCCCUGACCUGUGCCACGACGGCUCUGUGCGCUGCUGGAGCCCAGCGCCGGGCUCUGGAGGGCGGCGGCCACCGGCGCUACCACCGAGUGCAGCACGGCCACUGCAGCUACACCUUCGUGCUGCCCGAGACCGACCCCCUGCCCUGCCCUGCCCCCGGCCCUGCCCCCGGCCCGGCCGGCGUGCUGCUCCAGCGGGACUCGCCGGCUGGAACCGCCGGGCACGGGGCUGCUCAGCGCCUGCGGCACCUCGAGAGGAUCCUGGAGAACAGCACCCAGUGGCUGCUGAAGCUGGAGAGCUACAUCCAGAGCAGCGUGAAGCCGGAGAUGGCGGAGCUGCGGCAGACGGCAGUGCAGAACCAGACUGCCACCAUGCUGGAGAUCGGCAGCUCCCUCCUCAACCGCAGCGCCGAGCAGAGCCGCAAGCUCACUGACGUGGAGGCCCAGGUGCUGAAUCAGACGUGGCGCAUCGAGAUGCAGCUCCAGGAGAAUUCCCUGUCCACCAGCAAGCUGGAGAAGCAGCUGCUGCUGCAGACCAAUGAGAUCCACAAGCUGCAGAACAGAAACAACAUCCUGGAGGUGCGGGUGCUGGAGAUGGAAACGAAGCAGCAGGCGGAGCUGGCGGGGGCCCACUCAGAGAAGGAGAAGCUGCAGCGGCUGCUGAGCCGCCAGAGCGGCACCAUCGAGGAGAUGGAAAAGACGCUGCUGGCUGCCAGUGCCAACACCAGCCUGCUCCAGCGGCAGCAGCUCCAGCUCCUCCAGUCUGUCCAGAGCCUGGUGCGCCUCGUCUCCCGGGGCAGAGCCAUGUCACCUGGGCAGGAGCAGCAAUUCCAGGACUGUGCUGAGGUGCGCCGGGCGGGCAUCCAUGCUAGUGGCGUCUACACCCUGCACAUUGCCAACCUCAGCGAGCCCAAAAAGGCAUACUGUGACAUGGAGACAGAUCGAGGGGGCUGGACCAUCAUCCAGCUUCGUGCCAACGGCAGCCUCAGCUUCCAGAGGAGCUGGAGGGAGUACAAGCAGGGCUUUGGGGACGCAUCAGGGGAGUACUGGCUGGGGAAUGAGGCCGUGCACCUGCUGACGAGCCGGGUGCCCUACGCCCUGCGGGUCGAGCUGCAGGACUGGGAGGGCGGCCAGGUCUAUGCCCACUACAGGAAAUUCCAGCUGGGGAGCGAGCGGCAGUUUUACAGGCUGUCGCUGCAGGACUACAGUGGCACGGCUGGGCAGCAGAGUGGCCUGGCACUGCAGGGCACCCAAUUCAGCACCCGUGACGCCGACAAUGACAACUGUCUCUGCAAGUGUGCCCAGAUGCUCUCGGGAGGAUGGUGGUUUGAUGCCUGUGGCCUCUCCAACCUGAAUGGCAUCUACUACCCGGCCCGGAACAACAUCCGCAAGCUCAACGGCAUCCGCUGGCACCACUUCCAGGGGCCCAGCUACUCCCUGAGGGGCACCCGCAUGAUGAUCCGACCCAGCAGCUUCUAACGAGCCCGCGGCCAGUGCCAGCACUAAGAGACAAGUCCAGGACAAGGGAUGGUUGGGGGCGGCUGAGAUGCCCCAGCUGCUGCAGGGAACCUUUGCCAUGAGUUGUAUUUUUUUACUCUUGUUUAUCCCAUUUUUCAGAAGUCUGCAGUGUCACCGUGGCCAUGCUGGAGGAACUGUGGGCAGGGGUGAAGGGUGCUGCAGGAGCUGGAGCUGCAGGAGCUGGAGUGGGACAAAGCCAGACCUGCUAAAGUGGGCUUCAGCAUAUGGAAACCCCCUGACCUCACCUCAGCUUCUCUCCCUGAAUUUCUGCUGGGCCUCAGGGUUUUGUCUUGGGAACAGGGCUCCAAGACCCUCCCAGUGAUGGGGCUCUGAGAACCCCUGGGACCACGUGCAUUCAGAGAGCACUUCAUCAGCCUGACUCACAGCCAGAUGCCAUCCCUGUGUCCUGUCACCACGUCCUGACACCACAUCCUGCCCUCCACAUUCCUGGCAGCUGGACCUGACAAUACCCCAGCAGGAGUCAGAUGGAUCCUGCACCCCAAGCAGAGGAUCUGGGUGGACACACAACAGCGCAGGAAUCAAGCUGGGGUGGUAAAUUCUUCUUUGUGACAGCUUUUCUGGGGACCCCAAACACUGGAUGGAAGCCCCAGUCAAGGGGCCCAUGGUGCUGCCUUAGCCAGCAGCUGCUGAGGGGGCUGGCACUGAAGGGAGGCAGCAGCAGGCCCAGGGUCAGGUAGGGUCCCUGGGUGCAGGUGCUUGCUGGUGGCUUUGAUGUCACCUUCCCCAGCAGACACCUGCUUGCAUGGGACAUGUCAGGAGUGUGGGGACUGCAGGGCACAGGUGACACCUGAGGUGCCAGGAGGGCUGUGGUGCCAUGCAAGGCUGCCCUGGGAGAACACACAGGCGCUUUUCAUCUUCAAAGCGCUCCCUGCGCCAACUUUCAUCCCGGCCCACCUGGGAGGUCUCUGCUAUUGCCGCCCCCAUCUCCCAGUUCUUGGAGAGCUGGGACCUGGCCAAGCUUUGCAGGAGUGAGGGAAGGAGGCAGGGGAGGGUGCAUGGCACAGAGGGGAAUCCCAACAGCUGAGGUUCUGCCGGGACCUGCCAGAGCCAACCGCCGCCCUGCCGUGCCCGCCGGGCCCCGCG